rnacentral:SRP_RNA from 1 species
UCGAGACUACACCCAGAGCUCUUUGUAGCUCAACUGUCUUGAGGAAAGUCCCCGGAUCGCUCGCAGAGAGUGUU